AGAGUUUGAUCAUGGCUCAGAUUGAACGCUGGCGGCAGGCUUAACACAUGCAAGUCGAACGGUAACAGGAAGAAAGCUUGCUUUCUUUGCUGACGAGUGGCGGACGGGUGAGUAAUGCUUGGGAAUCUGGCUUAUGGAGGGGGAUAACUACGGGAAACUGUAGCUAAUACCGCGUAAUAUCGAGAGAUUAAAGGGUGGGACCGCAAGGCCACCUGCCAUGAGAUGAGCCCAAGUGGGAUUAGGUAGUUGGUGAGGUAAAGGCUCACCAAGCCGACGAUCUCUAGCUGGUCUGAGAGGAUGACCAGCCACACUGGAACUGAGACACGGUCCAGACUCCUACGGGAGGCAGCAGUGGGGAAUAUUGCACAAUGGGGGGAACCCUGAUGCAGCCAUGCCGCGUGAAUGAAGAAGGCCUUCGGGUUGUAAAGUUCUUUCGGUAGCGAGGAAGGCAUUUAGUUUAAUAGACUAGAUGAUUGACGUUAACUACAGAAGAAGCACCGGCUAACUCCGUGCCAGCAGCCGCGGUAAUACGGGGGGUGCGAGCGUUAAUCGGAAUAACUGGGCGUAAAGGGCACGCAGGCGGUGACUUAAGUGAGAUGUGAAAGCCCCGGGCUUAACCUGGGAAUUGCAUUUCAUACUGGGUCGCUAGAGUACUUUAGGGAGGGGUAGAAUUCCACGUGUAGCGGUGAAAUGCGUAGAGAUGUGGAGGAAUACCGAAGGCGAAGGCAGCCCCUUGGGAAUGUACUGACGCUCAUGUGCGAAAGCGUGGGGAGCAAACAGGAUUAGAUACCCCGGUAGUCCAA
rnacentral:rRNA from 1 species